rnacentral:rRNA from 1 species
GUGAGGAAUAUUGCGCAAUGGAGGCAACUCUGACGCAGCCAUGCCGCGUGCAGGAAGAAGGCGCUACGCGUUGUAAACUGCUUUUAACCGGGAAGAAACCCCAGGACGUGUCCUGGGUUGACGGUACCGGAGGAAUAAGCACCGGCUAACUUCGUGCCAGCAGCCACGGUAAUACGAAGGGUGCAAGCGUUAUCCGGAUUCAUUGGGUUUAAAGGGUGCGUAGGCGGAGCGUUAAGUCAGUGGUGAAAUCCUGCAGCUUAACUGUAGACUUGCCAUUGAUACUGGCGGUAUUGAGUGCGCUUGAAGUGGGCGGAAUGUGCCGUGUAGCGGUGAAAUGCUUAGAUAUGGCACAGAACACCAAUUGAGAAGGCAGCUCACUAAGGCGAUACUGACGCUGAGGCACGAAAGCGUGGGGAUCGAACAGGAUUAGAUACCCCGGUAGUCC